rnacentral:misc_RNA from 1 species
GAUGAAGAACGUAGCGAAAUGCGAUAAGUAAUGUGAAUUGCAGAAUUCAGUGAAUCAUCGAGUUUUUGAACGCAUAUUGCGCCCUCUGGUAUUCCGGGGGGCAUGCCUGUUCGAGCGUCAUUAAAUAACCCUCAAGCAUAGCUUGGUGUUGGGCUUUUUUACGUCCUUGACUGGGAUGGGCCUAAAAAUUAGUGGCGAUGGCUUUUUUACUUUCAAGCGUAGUAAAUCUCGUCUUGCUAAAGAGGAAAAAGAUUUUUUUUCUGCCAAAAAUUUUAACAUUUAAAGUUGACCUCGGAUCAGGUAGGAUUACCCGCUGAACUUAAGCAUAUCAAUAAGCGGAGUA